UAGAUGAACGAAAGACUUCUUGUCCUUCCUAGACUCAUUUUUAGUGAUCUAAGGUUUCUGUUUUUGUUUCAUUUUUUGCUUUAUCUUUCUUCCAUCAUUGAAUACGCUCACCAAAUUGGAUAUUUGAAAACUAUUGGCAUCAAAUUUAAUCUCAUUUAGUGCUUUUGUGUUUCCCACCUGAGCCCUAGCGUGACAUCAAAAAGAAGAAAAUGGGAGGAGGCAGGGCAGAAGUCAAAGAUUUCUCGUGAGAGAAACUUGGAGAAGCAAAAAGAAGUAGCCAAGGUUGACUUUGUGGUAGAAGAUGAGUUAAUGGAGAUUGUGCAUAAUAUGAGAAUGGAUUCUCUCAAUUUCAUCUGUGAUUAUUUUGGUCCCUUCUUCUCUCAGAUAUUCGUUAAAGUGCUGCAGUGGCAUGUCGUGGCUUUGAAGAAGAGAGGAAAAUGCACAAUUCGGCCUCCUCAGUGGAUGCCUGUUUUGGAGGCAGAAUGAGAAGAUCAAGGGACAUUUCAGGUUGUACCAUUCCAUUAUAUAGAGAUAUUCAGACUUCUUUUUUGGCCAGUGUAAAAGAAUACACAUCAAUGUGCUUAACAAUGCAGGGACAAUUAUACAUGUUCAAAUUUGAUUUUAUAUUGGGGCAUUCUUUGGAACUUGGAGAUUAGCAAUCAGAGUUUCAAUAUUGUUGAUGUUAUGCCUGCAAACAUGGAGGAUCUAGCUGGAAACUGAGUUGAUCAGGCCAGUUGGUUUUUGCUAGGCCUGAAUGCUCUGGCUUCUACUUUAGUAACCAACCUUGUUUUCUGACAUUUCUCAUAGACUCCUGACUAACUUGCUAUUCCUCUUCCCUGGUUUUUGGUUUGCUUGUUUUAUUGUUUGCUUUUAAGUUCUAUCGUUUUGUUUACUGAUGUCUUACUGAAAGCUUAAACCCAUUUUCAUUUGUUCUUGCAGAAGUGAUAACAUCUGCAGAAUUCCACCCUACUCAUUGUAAUUUGUUAGCAUAUAGCAGUUCAAAAGGCUCAAGAUGGCUUAUUGAUUUGUGACAGUCAGCUUUAUGUGUUUCUCAUGCUAAAUUGUAAGUGCUUCUGUUGGUUUAGUUCUUUUAAUGUCUUCUGUGGUAGAACGAAUGAAAAAGGUGGAUAUAUCAUUGGCUUGGAUGCAUUUACUCUUAGAAGAUAGGAAAAAGCAUCUGUUCAGUUAUGUUAUUGGAUAUGAUAGAAUUUGCUUCUAGUUUCCUUUAAUAUCCUUUGUACAUAGGUUCGAGGAACAAGAGGCACCUGGUUCUAGAUCAUUUUUCACAGAGAUAAUUACUUCAAUCUUAGAUAUUAAAUUUGCAAAGGAUGGAAUUUGAGGAAUGGAAUAGAAGGUUUAUUGAUUGGUUUAAAAA